GUGACGAAGCGACGCCGCGUGGGUGAGGAAGGCCUUCGGGUUGUAAAACCCUGUCAGGAGUUAAGAAAUGUAAGUGCGCUAAUACCGCAUUUACUUGACGAAGGCUCCAAAGGAAGCCACGGCUAACUCUGUGCCAGCAGCCGCGGUAAUACAGAGGUGGCAAGCGUUGUUCGGAAUUAUUGGGCGUAAAGAGCACGUAGGUGGAUUUGCAAGUCAGAUGUGAAAGCCUUCUGUUCAACGGAAGAAUUGCAUCUGAAACUGCAAACCUUGAGUGUAGGAGGGGAGAAUGGAACUUCUGGUGGAGCGGUGAAAUGCGUAGAUAUCAGAAGGAACGCCGGCGGCGAAAGCGAUUCUCUGGCCUAUUACUGACACUCAGUGUGCGAAAGCUAGGGGAGCAAACGGGAUUAGAUACCCCGGUAGUCCUAGCCGUAAACGAU
rnacentral:rRNA from 1 species